rnacentral:ncRNA from 19 species
GUUGACCUCGGAUCAGGUAGGGAU